rnacentral:rRNA from 1 species
UUCUUUUAAGAUUUUUUUAAAAGUAAAGCCUGCCCACUGAUUAAUUAAAGGGCCGCGGUAUUUUGACCGUGCUAAGGUAGCAUAAUCAUUAGUCUCUUAAUUAGGGAAUAGUAUGAAUGGUUAAACUGUUGUUUGUUUUUAAUUUUUAAUUUUUUUGAAGUUAAAUUUGAAGUGAAAAUGCUUUAUUAUACUAUUAGGACGAUAAGACCCUAUAGAGUUUUAUACCUUUAUGUUACCUGAGUCUUGGGGGGGAGUUAGGUGAUAUCUGGGUAUUUAAUUGGGGCAAUUUUUGAAUAAUAAAAACUUCUAAUAAGUUGUAUAAUUUAUUAUUUAAUCUUAAACUUUAACAAGUAAAAAGUUACCUUAGGGAUAACAGCGUAAUUAUUUUUGAGAGCUCUGAUCGACAAAAUUGUUUGCGACCUCGAUGUUGAAUUAAGAAGUCUUGUAGGGGCAGCUUUUUACCAAGAAAGUCUGUUCGACUAAUAAAUUCUU